rnacentral:rRNA from 1 species
GACGAACGCUGGCGGCGCGCUUAACACAUGCAAGUCGAGCGAGAACCAGGGCUUCGGCCCUGGGGACAGCGGCGAACGGGUGAGUAACACGUGGGUAAUCUGCCCUCGGCACCGGAAUAGCCCGGGGAAACCCGGAUUAAUGCCGGAUGGCCCCUUCACCUCGUGAGGGGUCGGGAAAAGGUAGCUUCGGCCUCCGGCCGAGGCUGAGCCCGCGGCGGAUUAGCUUGUUGGCGGGGUAACGGCCCACCAAGGCGACGAUCCGUAGCUGGUCUGAGAGGACGAUCAGCCACACUGGGACUGAGACACGGCCCAGACUCCUACGGGAGGCAGCAGUGGGGAAUCUUGCGCUAAUGCGGGAAACCGUGACGCAGCGACGCCGCGUGAGGGAAGAAGGCCUUCGGGUUGUAAACCUCUUUCAGGAGGGACGAAGCUACUCGGGUUAAUAGCCCAGAGGGUGACGGUACCUCCAGAAGAAGCCCCGGCUAACUACGUGCCAGCCGCCGCCGUAAUAC